UCGAUUCUUUCCAGCAGUAGUUCUAACCUUGUUCUCAGUGGUAUUGGUCUGCUAGUUAACAGUGCAAUUCCCUUUUCUAAGGGGACUUUCUUAUAAGUAGUAGUUCGCUCCCUAGUUUCUAGUUAAGGUCUCAGAGAGAGUAGCCCCAUCCCGCCAAGUAACUCGAGCACAGGCAUCGGGCGACUGAACCACCGGCACAAACGGAUAAGAAUAACCAUGGGAACGAACACCGGCACAAACACAUCUAGAGCUGCUAGUUACUAAUAAGAAAAGUCAAAUAACUCAUUCAGUUAGGGACCAUUCAAUCAUUCAUCGUGUGGGCGGGGCGAGCAACAAUAGGCAUAAAGUUGUGUAGGACAACUCGGUCUUAAGGUAACAUAGCUCAGUCUUCAAUUAGCUAAGCGCAUUCAUCGCAGGGCCAUCUCAAAUACAAAUUCCAAAAGUGCUGUUUUGAUACUCAAAUAGAAAUAGAACUUGCUGCUUUUUACCCUAAUUCCCUUAAGAAACUAGAAUCUCAUAUAUUAUUAGAAAAUAUAUUAUAAUAUCAGUGAAAAGAAUCAUGAAACUAAGUAGUCAAAUGAAUAAGGCAUUUCAGAAUAAUAAUAAGAAAAGAGAGAAUGAAAGCGAAGGAGGGCAGUUCAGGUACUAAUGAUAGGUACGAGAUCGGGAGC
rnacentral:lncRNA from 1 species